GAUGAACGCUGGCGGCGUGCCUAAUACAUGCAAGUCGAGCGAACAGACGAGGAGCUUGCUCCUCUGACGUUAGCGGCGGACGGGUGAGUAACACGUGGAUAACCUACCUAUAAGACUGGGAUAACUUCGGGAAACCGGAGCUAACACCGGAUAAUAUAUUGAACCGCAUGGUUCAAUAGUGAAAGACGGUUUUGCUGUCACUUAUAGAUGGAUCCGCGCCGCAUUAGCUAGUUGGUAAGGUAACGGCUUACCAAGGCGACGAUGCGUAGCCGACCUGAGAGGGUGAUCGGCCACACUGGAACUGAGACACGGUCCAGACUCCUACGGGAGGCAGCAGUGGGGAAUCUUCCGCAAUGGGCGAAAGCCUGACGGAGCAACGCCGCGUGAGUGAUGAAGGUCUUCGGAUCGUAAAACUCUGUUAUUAGGGAAGAACAAAUGUGUAAGUAACUAUGCACGUCUUGACGGUACCUAAUCAGAAAGCCACGGCUAACUACGUG
rnacentral:rRNA from 1 species